rnacentral:lncRNA from 1 species
GGGUCCUAGAGGACCCUGCACUGAGGAAGAGUAAAGAAAUCUGCCUCCUUACCCGCAAGGUACUUCCAAGUCGGCUGUUGAUAUUUUCGUCUCUCAACAAACACUCCUCAUCUGGAGGCUAAGCAAUAACCUCUCGGAAAAAGGGUCAACUGGUUCGACGGAGAGGAAACCUAGGCUUACCUAGCAGUCCACAGCCCUCUGCAGAGCUCCCAGAAGCCAGCCUGCUAGGAUGCCUCUGUUGCCUGGGUUUCAUGUUUGACUUGGAACAGGCUUCUCAAGACUCCAUGAAGCAGGGAGUUUGUUUAUCAUCAUCAUCAUCAUCAUCAUCACCAUCACUAUCACCAUCAUCAUCAUCAUCAUCAUCAUCACCAUCACCAUCAUCACCAUCACCAUCAACAUCAUCAUCACCAUCACCAUCACCAUCACCAUCAUCAUCAUCAUCAUCACCAACAUCAUGUCUCUAACCCACAAAUUGCACAUCGACAGUAAGACAUGGCCCGCAGUGAGCCUACAAAUGUUACAAGACUCUAAACAUUACAGAAUGGCAUUUUUUUUUUUUUUUUGGCAAGAAAAAAAAAAAAACCCCUGAGCUAAUUGAGGAGAGAAAAUGAAAGCUCAAUUAGCAAGGGAAGAGGAAAAACAGAUCAAUACCGGACAUUUGCUGAUUUUGGAAGAUAUAGAAGAGCUGAGGUUGUGUAGAUAAAGUACUGGUGGACUAGGGAUCUAUAAGUAAGAUAACAAAGAAAAGUUUUGGAAAAAAGACAUCUUAACAAUUUUAGAUUACGUUUGUCUUGUAUAUGCACACACACACAUGUGACACAGUGUGCAGGUGGAGGUCAGGGGACAACUUGUAGGAGCUCAUUCUUUCCUUCCACCACAUGGCACACGGGGCCCAGGUAUUGAAUUUAGGUCACCAGGCUUGGGGCUGUCUUUAUCCACUGAGCCAUUUUGCUGGCCUGAAAGAGGACUUUAACAGUCUACCUCCAUUCACUUUACUGUUUUCAUUGUGUUUUUAUUUUCUAAAUAAGGCUCUUAAAUUAUCUAUAGGGACCCUGUUAGCACACAUCUCCCCAUUCCAUACAGCCCAAGUACUUGAUUCUCCUUUGCUACAUGCAACACCAGCAAAUCAGAAAGCAAAAUACCAGAAAAAUCUCUUCAAAAUGGUUUAUAUGUGAUAUACAUAGAUCUUUCACUCUAUAAGUUACAUAGUGAUAAGGGGCAGACAGAGGGACACAGAGAAUAUUCCACUUGAGAUUUAGUUAAAGGAGUUGAUGUGCCUGUAAAUUUGAAUUUCAUGACCUCCAUGAAUCCAAGUCUGAGAAUAGUCAUCAAAUGUACUCAAAUUCUAAGAAUGGCACACUUCCUGCUUGAGAUGGGAUUACUGUAUUCAUGACA